rnacentral:rRNA from 1 species
AUAGAGACUCAGAGCUGCAUAUCAAUAAGCGGAGGAAAAGAAACUAACAAGGAUUCCCCUAGUAACGGCGAGUGAAGCGGGAAGAGCUCAAAUUUGAAAUCUUCAAGGGUUUCCCUUGACGAAUUGUAGUUUAAAGAAGUGUUUUCUGUUAGUAGAGUGGCAAAAGUUCUUUGGAAUAGGACAUCAUAGAGGGUGAGAAUCCCGUAUUUGACCAUUAUUUCCAACUUUGUGAUACACUUUCAAAGAGUCGGAUUGUUUGGGAAUGCAGUCCAAAAUGGGUGGUAAAUUUCAUCUAAAGCUAAAUAUUGGCGAGAGACCGAUAGCGAACAAGUACCGUGAGGGAAAGAUGAAAAGAACUUUGAAAAGAGAGUUAAACAGUACGUGAAAUUGUCAAAAGGGAAGCGUUUGACACCAGUGUUGUUUUUCCGAAAAUCAAUUAUGAAUGGCUUGAUUUUAAGUUUCAUGACCUUAAAAGCUUGUUGCUUAUUUUUCAUGUCUUUCGUAAUGCACUUUUCGGUUAACAAGUCAACAUCAAUUUCUUUUGUUGUAAAAGGUUAAGAGGAAGGUGGCUUUACUUUCGGGUAAAGUGUUUAUAGCCUUUUAACUCUGCAAUCGGAGAGAUUGAGGUCUGCAGCGUAGAUCCUUCGGGGUUAGAUACAUUUGUGCUAAGUUAUAGCUUUUCAUAGACAACUUGUUGACUAUGUUAAGUCUUGUAAUUUACUCGCAGAUGCUAUUUUACCUACGCUUAGGAUGUUGAUAUGCAUGACUGAUAU